rnacentral:rRNA from 1 species
AUGAAGAUACCUCUUAAAAAUAAAAUAUUUGCAUGGAAUCUUCGUCGCGGUGUCAUUCUUACUAAAGAUAACCUUAUUAAGAGGAAUUGGCAUGGAAGUCUACAAUGUGUUUUUUGUCACCAUGAUGAGACAACAAAACAUUUAUUCUUCCAAUGCAAAUUGGCUCGUCCUAUAUGA